AGAGUUUGAUCCUGGCUCAGAACGAACGCUGGCGGCAUUAACACAUGCAAGUCGAACGAGAUCUUCGGGUCUAGUGGCGCACGGGUGCNNAACGCGUGGAUCUGCCCUUGGGUCCGGAAUAACAGUUGGAAACGACUGCUAAUACCGGAUGAUGACGUAAGUCCAAAGAUUUAUCGCCCAGGGAUGAGCCCGCGUAGGAUUAGCUAGUUGGUGGGGUAAAGCCUACCAAGGCGACGAUCCUUAGCUGGUCUGAGAGGAUGAUCAGCCACACUGGGAUGAGACACGGCCCAGACUCCUACGGGAGGCAGCAGUGGGGAAUAUUGGACAAUGGGCGAAAGCCUGAUCCAGCAAUGCCGCGUGAGUGAUGAAGGCCUUAGGGUUGUAAAGCUCUUUUACCCGGGAUGAUAAUGACAGUACCGGGAGAAUAAGCUCCGGCUAACUCGUGCCAGCAGCCGCGGUAAUACGGAGGGAGCUAGCGUUGUUCGGAAUUACUGGGCGUAAAGCGCACGUAGGCGGCUUUGUAAGUUAGAGGUGAAAGCCCGGAGCUCAACUCCGGAAUUGCCUUUAAGACUGCAUCGCUUGAAUCCAGGAGAGGUGAGUGGAAUUCCGAGUGUAGAGGUGAAAUUCGUAGAUAUUCGGAAGAACACCAGUGGCGAAGGCGGCUCACUGGACUGGUAUUGACGCUGAGGUGCGAAAGCGUGGGGAGCAAACAGGAUUAGAUACCCUAGUAGUCC
rnacentral:rRNA from 1 species